UACGUAGGGGGCAAGCGUUAUCCGGAAUUACUGGGUGUAAAGGGAGCGUAGACGGUGAUGUAAGUCUGGAGUGAAAGGCGGGGGCCCAACCCCCGGACUGCUCUGGAAACUAUGUGACUGGAGUGCAGGAGAGGUGAGCGGAAUUCCUAGUGUAGCGGUGAAAUGCGUAGAUAUUAGGGGGAACACCAGUGGCGAAGGCGGCUCACUGGACUGUAACUGACGUUGAGGCUCGAAAGCGUGGGGAGCAAACAGG
rnacentral:rRNA from 1 species